GCCGCAGCCUUGCCAGUGAUGAUUCAGACGGGUUAACACCUAGUGCUGUUUUCUCUCAAAUCAUGAAUCCAAAAGGACGCUAAGAUCUCACAUCUUUGUCGACAGGCCUUCAAUGGGGGAUGUGCUUUGGAACCUUGAAUUCGCUCUGCAACUUCAGGAGAGUGCAGAAGAAUGUGGCAAAGGUUUUGGAAAGAUGGACAUUGAAGAAGGCUUUGAUGUCACAUGCAAAGGAAAGAAGGAUUUAAAUGAAUCUGCAGGUUUUGAUGCGAGCAUGACUGAUUCAAGAAGCAGUGGCAUAUCCAUGAGCAUUGGUGGCCGCAGCCUUGCCAGUGACGACUCAGAUGGCUUAACACCUAGUGCUGUUUUCUCUCAAAUCAUGAAUCCAAAAGGACGCUAAAAAUCUCACAUCUUGAAAGCAAAUACAUAGUGCCACUGGUCAUCUAUAGCUCGUUAAGGCAAUUUGCUAUCGGCCUCUUUAACAGCGCAAGUCACUUUUUUCCUUUCUCGUACUGUCUUAUUCUUUUACUCACUAUUUAUUUUUAUGAUUCAUAUGUUAUCUUUAAACUCUUUUGUAAGUUGUAUCUACCAAUACUCCCAAGUGUGGAAUUAUUUUUCGUUGUACUAUUAACUAAUGAAGAGGUUGUUCCCUGUGACAUUAAUUCUGAUGUUAUGCAUCAUGUAGAACUGAAGUAUUAUG
rnacentral:lncRNA from 1 species